UCGAACGCGUUGGCCCAACUGAUUGAACGUGCUUGCACGGACUUGACGUUGGUUUACCAGCGAGUGGCGGACGGGUGAGUAACACGUAGGUAACCUGCCCCAAAGCGGGGGAUAACAUUUGGAAACAGAUGCUAAUACCGCAUAACAAUUUGAAUCGCAUGAUUCAAAUUUAAAAGAUGGCUUCGGCUAUCACUUUGGGAUGGACCUGCGGCGCAUUAGCUUGUUGGUAGGGUAACGGCCUACCAAGGCUGUGAUGCGUAGCCGAGUUGAGAGACUGAUCGGCCACAAUGGAACUGAGACACGGUCCAUACUCCUACGGGAGGCAGCAGUAGGGAAUCUUCCACAAUGGGCGCAAGCCUGAUGGAGCAACACCGCGUGAGUGAAGAAGGGUUUCGGCUCGUAAAGCUCUGUUGUUAGAGAAGAACGUGCGUGAGAGCAACUGUUCACGCAGUGACGGUAUCUAACCAGAAAGUCACGGCUAACUACGUGCCAGCAGCCGCGGUAAUACGUAGGUGGCAAGCGUUAUCCGGAUUUAUUGGGCGUAAAGCGAGCGCAGGCGGUUUGAUAAGUCUGAUGUGAAAGCCUUUGGCUUAACCAAAGAAGUGCAUCGGAAACUGUCAGACUUGAGUGCAGAAGAGGACAGUGGAACUCCAUGUGUAGCGGUGGAAUGCGUAGAUAUAUGGAAGAACACCAGUGGCGAAGGCGGCUGUCUGGUCUGCAACUGACGCUGAGCUCGAAAGCAUGGGUAGCGAACAGGAUUAGAUACCCUGGUAGUCCAUGCCGUAAACGAUGAGUGCUAGUGUUGGAGAGUUUCCGCCCUUCAGUGCCGCAGCUAACGCAUUAAGCACUCCGCC
rnacentral:rRNA from 2 species